rnacentral:lncRNA from 1 species
CCUCACUGUGCACGCCACCCCAUCCCCAAAAUUCUCAGCACAUCAACCUCUUAUUUUCCUCCCCAAAUUCAACAAUUUUUUUUCCCAAAUCCAAGACUAAUUCAACGAAUUUUUCUCCAAUCCAACCACCAAUGAAUUCACCCUAUGAGGACAUUAGAGUACUACUUGAUCAUCACAACCCCUAUCAUCAGCUUCAGUGUCUGAUCUGAAAAAACACACACCCUUUGAAAUUUAGAACAAUACCCAGAUCUGUAAAACACACACCCUUCCCCGACCCGCUCCCUCCCUCUCUCUCACCCUCUGUUUUUCUCUCUCCUCACCCCACCACCCUGUGUCGUUAUUUGCAGAGAGAGGAGGGAGAGUUUUCAAAAAUUUAUUUUUAAUUUAUAAUUAAUUUAUAAUUUUUUAAUUGUUAAUUGAUUCUUUUAAUUUAUUUUAUCUAUUUUAUUUUAUUUUAUCAGUUGAUGUGGCUAUUAUAUAUGAUCUGAUUGUCUUCUUAUUCAAUGACUCUCUUGAAGUUUCUUCUUUCUUUUUUGGUUGGAUAAAUUUCUCUUGCCUAUGUAAAGGCUCUCUCGCACUAGACAAGGCAGAUACUAGUUCUUUACUUUGUACUAAUUACUGCCUUAAUCUUGUUGAUCCAAUAUGCGUAUACACAUGUUAUAAUAUGAGUUGACUAUAUCCUUUAUUUUUCUCCCUUUUUGAUCUAAUUUUGUGCAUCAACAUUUGAUUGUUAUAUCUUUUUCAGCAUCGAAGAACUUACUGCACCAAGAGAAUUGUCACUACCAAGGUAAGCAAAACGAACGAACGCAUGGAUCCAUAUAAAAUUUAAUAUAUUUUUAGUACCUGAUUUUGAUAUGUUGUUUAUGAUGUGUUUUCAGUUGGGCAGUUGAGAAAUCUGCCACUGGAAAUGAAGGUGAUAGACCAAGGAGAGGAUGGCCAACAAUAGUAGAGAGCAUUUUUUAUCGAGGUCGGUCAUUUCUUCCAAACUGGAAGAGGGCAUUUUUAGCAUCAUGUGUAUUUGGGGUCUUAAUAGAUCCGUUAUUCUUUUAUAUUCCUAUUGUCAACAAGGAUAAGAAGUGCAUCGGGUUGGACAACAGUUUGAAAGGAGUGGUUAUGUCACUACGAUCGACAAUGGAUCUAUUUUAUGCAGUGAAUAUUUUUAUUCAAAUUUAUAUCGAACCUAAAGUUCCAACAUUUAGGGUCAUGGGGAGAUCAUAUCUCCAUACCAUAGUUUUGACAAAAGGAACCAUAUUAGUUGAAGAUGCUUUGGCAAUGGCUAACAGGAUUUGGAGGAUCUCAUCACACAUCUUAAUUGACAUUUUAUCGGUUCUUCCCAUUCCACAGGUAUGAGAAAAUUAGUUUACCAAUCUCUCGUUUAAAAGUAUUUGAAAUUCGGAUGUGUGAAUAUAAGCUAAAUUAACUGUUGGCUUAAUCCAUUGCACUGUGUCCAGGCAGUGAUCCUUAUCUUCAUGCACUCUAGUUCUUUGAAUACGAGGAAGUUUUUGGCUUUUCUGGCUCUGUUACAGUAUGUACCACGAGUUCUUCGUAUCUACUUAUUGUGUACCAAACUCAACCAGCCUCCUGCUAGAGGGACUGAGAUAUGGAUUUUAUUUCAAGGCGCUUUUAGUUUCUUUUUGUACAUCCUUGCUAGUCAUGUAAGUUUCAAUCUUCAUGUAGUAAUUUAUCUCAAGUGAUGCUCCAUUUAGUUUCCAAGUUUUGGUUGGAUUUCUUGGCUGGAAACCUUGUCACCAAUUUAUGAACAAAAUGAACAUCAUUUAAUUUCCUAUGAAUUAUAUAUACUUUGCAGAAACUUUUCUCAAAAGUUUGUUCACUAACUUGUUGAUGUUCUUAGGUAUUUGGAGCUUUCUGGUACUUUUUAGCUAUCCAGCGAGAGAAGGCUUGCUGGCAAAAUGCUUGUCGAAACAACAAUGGAUGUCAAGCUACUACCUUCUACUGCAAUGGUCGUUCAAUCAGAAACAUCACAUUUCUGGACGACUUAUGCUCUAUGAAUCCACACAAUACUAAUGCAACACCCUUCGAUUUUGGUAUGUUUGUUGAGGCUGUCCAGUCUGGUGUGUUGGAGUCAACAAAUUUACCGAAUAAAUUCUUUCAUUGUUUCUGGUGGGGCUUGCGAAAUCUAAGGUUUGAACAUAAUUUUGCAUUACUGUAUUUUUUAGAAGGAACAAAUUUACAACUGUCUGGAUCCUAACGUUACUCUUUUACGUUGCCUAACAUCACACACACAUAUGUAUAAAUGGUGUUUUAACUUGUAAUGUCUUUAACAUAGACGAGAGGUCCUAGAAUAUUUUAUUACUUGCAGCACAUUGAAUUUAUUACUUGCAGUACAUUGAAUAUGUUUCUUCUGUUUCGAAUCUGCAGUUCUCUCGGGCAAAACCUCGAGACGAGUAACUAUACAUGGGAAAAUAUCUUUGCCAUUUUUAUUUCUCUAAGUGGCUUGCUCCUGGUUCUACUAUACCUCCCUACAAAUUUGAAGGUUGGUGCCAGAACUUCUAAAUUAAACAUAAUGUAUCUUAAUUAACUUAGGGUUCGUAUGGGAGUGGUUCUGGAUAAGCAAAAAAUACUUCUCCAUAGAAUCACUUUAAGUAGUUUUAAGUGAUUUUCUGGAGAAUGACAUAAGAUAUGCUUCUCCAAACGGGCUCUUGGAGUUUUGUUGUAAGGAUCUCAAUCUUGGAGUUCAUCAAACAAUUAUUUUGGCUUAAUAAAGCUAGAUGGUGAUAUUUUUAUGAAAAAUAAAAUGAAAAAAUUAUAUAGAGACUAGAUGUCGUUUGACAAAAUGGUCAUUGGCAAAAGCUAGAUGGUGUUGACAUGGAAAUUAGGGUUAAAAGAACUCAUGAUUGUCAUGUAACAGAUAUGUAUGGAGUUGGUAACUAGAACAUCAGCCAAGAUGCGGCCGCUGAAAAGGAAAGAUCUAGAGGUACAACUCUGGUUAUCUGAAAAUGACAUCCCUAAGGAUAUGAAGGCGCCCAUCAUGCAAAAGGUGCACAAACUUGAACAAAACACAGAUGUUCAUGUGGAGAAUAUCCUCUCUAUUCUUCCCUUGGAAGAAAAGAGAUUUAUUAAGCGACAUCUCUGCUGGCCUACAAUGAACAAAGUAAGUUUCCCUCAUCUCCAAAGUGUUCAAUUAUUCUUCUCACCAGAGUCUCCAAUUUGACAUUAUUAAUUUUAUAAUUCGUAGUUUAGUUUUUCUUCGUUUAACAUGUCGUACCGUUUAAGUUUUUAAAUUAACAUUUAAAAUUAGGUUCCAAUGCUUCGAGAUAUGGACGAUCAAGUGUUGAAAGAAAUCUUUGACAAUCUCAAGCCAGUGAGCUAUACAGAAGACAAAUGUAUAAUUGGAGAGGGUGAACCACUUGUUAAAAUGCUCAUCAUCACUCGAGGCAUUUUGUUGACCUACACAACUAACAAUGGUGCUAGAAGAAGUAGUGGAGGUUCUUCAACCACCACCAAGCGUCUUGCCAAAGGUGAUUUCUGUGGAGAAGAACUUCUAACCUGGGCAUCAACAUUCUCCCCGCUUUCAGACUUACCCAUCUCCACAACAUUUGUCAAGUCCCUCACAAAAGUUGAAGCAUUUGCGCUCAUGGCCAAUGACUUGAAGAUUAUAGCGUCUAAAUUCUGGAGGCAUUUUAGCAUGGAUGCUCGGAUGCCGGUACAUCUUGCUGCAAAUCUUAUACAAACCAACUGGCGCCGCCGCAAUACAAGGGGUGCUAUACCGAAUCCUCUAAGCUCCAGCGAGGAGUUCCGGUUGAUGACUAUUAUGACUCAUCCGGUCCACUUGAAGAAAGGGGAGAAGGAGGAGGAAGAAGGGUAGUGAGGACAGUGGUUGCUGAGAUUGACGGAACGAGAGGCGAAGAGCAUGAGGUGUCGGUCGUGGGCCUCUUCUGGGUUAAUUUCGUGGUCGUCAGAGGUGGAGAGGUUGAUGCUGGUUUGGGUUGUGGAGGACGGGGUUGCCGACGCUGGGGUUGGAUGGUGUUCGUGUUCUGGGAUUUUAUUUCUUUACUUCAAUUUCUUUUGUCAAACAUGUAUUUUAAUAUAUUUUAGUUUUUUUUUUUUUUUUUAAAAGAAAGGGCUGGAGCUUGUAUUUUAAUUUUUUUUUUAUAGGCUUUUUAUCACAAAUGGUUCUUAACGUUUACGAUUUUAUCACGAAUGGUCCUUGAUGUAUUUUUGUGACACUAAUAGUCCUUAACGUUAGUGCUUUUUAUCACAAAUGGUCACUCCAUUAAAAAUUCUGUUAAGUGUAAUAAGUGGA